rnacentral:rRNA from 1 species
GACGUAGGGCGCGAGCGUUGUCCGGAUUUAUUGGGCGUAAAGAGCUCGUAGGCGGCUUGUCGCGUCGACUGUGAAAACCCGCAGCUCAACUGUGGGCUUGCAGCCGAUACGGGCAGGCUAGAGUUCGGUAGGGGAGACUGGAAUUUACGGUGUAGCAGUGAAAUGCGUAGAUAUCGUAAGGAAGACCAGUGGCGAAGGCGAGUCUCUGGACAGUUACCGACGCUGAGGCACGAAGGCCAGGGGAGCAAACGGG